rnacentral:rRNA from 1 species
GACCUGCCCACUGAGGAUUUAAAUGGCCGCGGUAUUUUGACCGUGCAAAGGUAGCAUAAUAAUUAGUUUUUUAAUUGAAAGCUGGAAUGAAAGGUUGGAUGAGAAAAUAACUGUCUCUAUUUAGAUUAAUUAAAAUUUUAUUUUUAAGUAAAAAAGCUUAAAUAAAAAUAGAAGACGAGAAGACCCUAUAGAGUUUUAAUUUAGUUGGGGUGAUUGAAAAAUUUAAUAAACUUUUUUUAUGUAUGGCCAUUGAUUUAUGAGUGAUUGAUCCUUAAAUUAAGAUUAAAAGAAAAAAUUACCUUAGGGAUAACAGCGUAAUUUUUUUAGAGAGUUCAAAUCGAAAAAAAAGAUUGCGACCUCGAUGUUGGAUUAAAAUUAAAUUUUGGUGUAGAAGCUAA